CAGUCGCCACGGUAAUACGAAGGGUGCAAGCGUUACUCGGAAUUACUGGGCGUAAAGCGUGCGUAGGUGGUGGUUUAAGUCCGUUGUGAAAGCCCUGGGCUCAACCUGGGAAUUGCAGUGGAUACUGGGUCACUAGAGUGUGGUAGAGGAUAGUGGAAUUUCCGGUGUAGCAGUGAAAUGCGUAGAGAUUGGAAGGAACAUCUGUGGCGAAGGCGACUAUCUGGGCCAACACUGACACUGAGGCACGAAAGCGUGGGGAGCAAACAGGAUUAGAUACCCCUGUAGUCCCUGUCUCUUAUAC
rnacentral:rRNA from 1 species